AAUCAAGGAAGGCAGUCUAAAUUCGCGAUGUCCUGUCGCAACGACUGCAUGACCUACAUCCUGUAGG
rnacentral:sRNA from 1 species